GGGGGUGAACUAGAUUCGACAGCGGUUGCGGAGUUCGCGUUGCGCGCCGUGGCGCACGGCCACGUUAAAACGGGCAAAGGCAUAACUGCCAACAACAACACCAGCGCUCUUCCGAUGGCCGCCUAAGGCUAUUGACUAGCGCCCUGAUCCUGCGGGAUCAGGCGCUCACCCCAUCCGUCGCAGUCCGAGUGGUUUGGUGAGCGUCAUUAAAGACUAGCGUGCUGCCCGCCAAUGCCGAUACGGCGGGCAAAAGACUCAUCGGCUAGGUUCUGAUCUACCGCGCCUCACCGGGCUAUCAGGGCCGAAACCUAAAAGAGAGGACACGCUCGUAGACGCGCGAAGGAUGUGCCGACUGGACGGGGAUGGCAGAGUCCCCCACCUCCACUG
rnacentral:tmRNA from 1 species